UACGGAGGGGGCUAGCGUUGUUCGGAAUUACUGGGCGUAAAGCGCACGUAGGCGGCUUGGUAAGUUAGAGGUGAAAGCCUGGAGCUCAACUCCAGAAUUGCCUUUAAGACUGCCGAGCUAGCAGGUGAGAGAGGUGAGUGGAAUUCCGAGUGUAGAGUUGAAAUUCGUAGAUAUUCGGAAGAACACCAGUGGCGAAGGCGGCUCACUGGCUCAUACUGGACGCUGAGGUGCGAAAGCGUGGGGAGCAAACAGG
rnacentral:rRNA from 1 species